UCUCUCCGUGAGUCCGCUUGGAAAAAAAUCGAACUCCAUGCAGUUCGAAAUAUCUACAAGGAUAAACUACUCUGACGGAGAGACAGCGCUGGAAAAAGAAACGCGACCAUGUUACCAUUGGCCUGUAAAGCUGCAGCAAGUAAAAAUUUCAUUAUUCUAUUGCUGAUACGCAUGACAAUUAAACACUGAACUCUGAACAGGUCCACGGAUGCGACUUAUUCUAACCUUGCUUGUGCUCGAGACUUUUCGACCUUUGUUAAAAUUAAUUCGAUAUUUCAAAAUUUGUUGCUCUGGAAAUUGAUCAAUAAUUUGAAUUAACAUCGUGUUUAGCGAAAUAAUCUAGCGAAAUAGAUCAUGAUUGUUCCCCCCAUUUCCUCCCCCUUAUUAUGGGCUGCUAAUUCGCUUGAAAUGUAAUAAACGCGAUUGGAUAUCUUCUAUUUAAAAAACAAAAUCAACGGAUAAAUAAAAACACGUCUUGAAAUACAAUAAAA